GACGAACGCUGGCGGCGUGCUUAACACAUGCAAGUCGAACGAUGAAGAAGAGAAACGCGAACUUCGGUUCAAAUUUCACUUCGGAUUAGUGGCAGACGGGUGAGUAACGCGUGAGCAACCUACCUCUUACAAAGGGAUAGCCUCGGGAAACCGUGAUUAAUACCAUAUGACACAUUCAUAAGGCAUCUUAAGAAUGUUAAAGCUACGGCGGUAAGAGAUGGGCUCGCGUCCCAUUAGCUAGUUGGUGAGGUAACGGCCCACCAAGGCGACGAUGGGUAACCGGCCUGAGAGGGUGAACGGUCACAUUGGAACUGAGACACGGUCCAAACUCCUACGGGAGGCAGCAGUGGGGAAUAUUGCACAAUGGAGGGAAUUCUGAUGCAGCGACGCCGCGUGAGCGAUGAAGGAAUUCGUUUCGUAAAGCUCUGUUCUAUGGGAAGAAAAGGACUGUACCAUAGGAGAAAGCCCCGGCUAAAUACGUG
rnacentral:rRNA from 1 species